rnacentral:lncRNA from 10 species
AAAUACAGCAAUGCUGGGCUCCAAAUAACCUACAGUGACAGGCAGUCCUCAGGGUUUGUGAGCUUCCGGUGUGCUUUAAUGCUGCAUCAGCCUUGGUGGCCACGAUUUUUGAACUCAGUGCUGCUAAAGUCAUGACAUUUGGGUAAAGGGUACUUCCUAGUACUUCCAGAGCUGCAACAGUCACUGGCUUAGGGACCACACAAGACAACAGGCUAAGGAUCUCUGUGCAGCCUUACUGUUGAGUGACAUGCCCCAAAAUAAGUCAGACUGCAAAGAAUGAAGUCAGUACAUACUCCUUUAAUGUGCAAACAUCAAUGUACAACCACAAUAACCAAGAAAAAUCAGGGAAAUAUAAUUCCUUAAAUUGGACAAUAAAAAGGUGCCAGUGACUGACUCUAAGAAGAUGGAGAGGUAUAACCUUUCUGGAAAAGAAUUCAAAAUAGCUGUUUUAAAGAUCUUCAAAAAACUUCAAGAAUACACAGGUAAAUAGUAAAAUGAGGAAAGCAAUAACUUACCAGAAUAAGAAACUUAACAGAGAUAUUAAAAUAUUUUUUAAAAAAUUGAACAGAAAUUCUGGAGCUGAAAAAUGCAACUAAUAAAGUGAAAAAAUUAAAUAGACAGCAUAAACAGUGCGGUGCAUUUUUUGAAAAGAUAAAAUCAGCAAACCUUGAGUUAGAGUAACUAAGAGAAAAAGAGAAGAUCCAAAUAAGUAAAAUAAGAGAAGAGAGGAAAUCUUACUGAUGGCAGCAGCAACCCAUCUGAAGCAGCCACUGUAAGGACACCAGCUGCAGCAGGGGAGGUGCAGCUGGGGCUGUGCACUCCCUGGAGCUGGCAGGGACUAAGAGCAGGUGGCUGCCCCCUGCUCUCUGCCAGCACCAGGUGGCUGUCCCAUGCAACAGAAAGCAAUGGUGGGGCUAGGCCAGCCUAGGCACCACAGGCUGAAGUGGGGUGGUGGGACUGAAAGAGUUGUAACACAAAUGGGCUGAAACAUACCCCUCUUCCCACAAUGCCUAGAGAAGAGCCGCAGCCCUUCUGGGAUCCCAGGCCUAGGGGCACCCAAAGCCAGGGCUGUGACAUGCUGUAACACCCCUUUGAGGAUUUGGGGUCGCUGGUGUCUCCAAGUUUUUCAGGCACCACCACAUUCCCCUCAUCCAGACACUUGCCCAGCCACAAGCUGAGCAUUGUUACCAUGGUGAGGACAGGAUCCAGACCAGAGUGCAAGCCAAGUGCAGCCCCACUGGUCUGCAGGGUACCUUAUGCAGUGAGCCCAGGGUGAAGUGAGGCCCUGGACAGGGGUGUCACCAGCUGCAGAGGUCUCUGGCUGGCAAAGCAGCACCAAAAAAAUCCUGCAUCAUUUUAACUGAUAGCAAAAAAAAACAAAAACAAA